UAACCUGCCCCAGACUCUGGGAUAACUUCGGGAAACCGGAGCUAAUACCGGAUAUGACACGGAGAUGCAUGUCUACCGUGUGGAAAGUUUUUCGGUCUGGGAUGGGCUCGCGGCCUAUCAGCUUGUUGGUGAGGUAAUGGCUCACCAAGGCGACGACGGGUAGCCGGCCUGAGAGGGCGACCGGCCACACUGGGACUGAGACACGGCCCAGACUCCUACGGGAGGCAGCAGUGGGGAUAUUGCACAAUGGGCGAAAGCCUGAUGCAGCGACGCCGCGUGAGGGAUGACGGCCUUUGGGUUGUAAACCUCUUUCAGCAGGGAAGAAGCGCAAGUGACGGUACCUGCAGAAGAAGCACCGGCUAACUACGUGCCAGCAGCCGCGGUAAUACGUAGGGUGCGAGCGUUGUCCGGAAUUAUUGGGCGUAAAGAGCUUGUAGGCGGUCUGUCGCGUCUGCUGUGAAAAUCCGGGGCUCAACCCCGGACUUGCAGUGGGUACGGGCAGACUAGAGUGUGGUAGGGGAGACUGGAAUUCCUGGUGUAGCGGUGAAAUGCGCAGAUAUCAGGAGGAACACCGAUGGCGAAGGCAGGUCUCUGGGCCAUAACUGACGCUGAGAAGCGAAAGCAUGGGGAGCGAACAGGAUUAGAUACCCUGGUAGUCCAUGCCGUAAACGUUGGGAACUAGGUGUGGGUCUCAUUCCACGAGAUCCGUGCCGCAGCUAACGCAUUAAGUUCCCCGCCUGGGGAGUACGGCCGCAAGGCUAAAACUCAAAGGAAUUGACGGGGG
rnacentral:rRNA from 1 species